rnacentral:rRNA from 1 species
UGGGGAAUAUUGCACAAUGGGCGCAAGCCUGAUGCAGCAACGCCGCGUGAACGAUGAAGGUCUUCGGAUCGUAAAGUUCUGUUGCAGGGGAAGAUAAUGACGGUACCCUGUGAGGAAGCCCCGGCGAACUACGUGCCAGCAGCCGCGGUAAUACGUAGGGGGCUAGCGUUAUCCGGAUUUACUGGGCGUAAAGGGUGCGUAGGUGGUCUUUCAAGUCGGUGGUUAAAGGCUACGGCUCAACCGUAGUUAGCCUCCGAAACUGGAAGACUUGAGUGCAGGAGAGGAAAGUGUAAUUCCCCGUGUAUCGGUUAAAUGCGUAGAUAUUGGGAGGAACACCAGUAGCGAAGGCGGCUUUCUGGACUGCAACUGACACUGAGGCACGAAAGCGUGGGUAGCAAACAGG